GCAAGCGUUAAUCGGAAUUACUGGGCGUAAAGCGCACGCAGGCGGUCAAUUAAGUCAGAUGUGAAAGCCCCGAGCUUAACUUGGGAAUUGCAUCUGAAACUGGUUGGCUAGAGUCUUGUAGAGGGGGGUAGAAUUCCACGUGUAGCGGUGAAAUGCGUAGAGAUGUGGAGGAAUACCGGUGGCGAAGGCGGCCCCCUGGACAAAGACUGACGCUCAGGUGCGAAAGCGUGGGGAGCAAACAGGAUCAGAUACCCUGGUAGUCCACGCUGUAAACGAUGUCGAUUUAGAGGUUGUGGUCUUGUACCGUGGCUUCUGGAGCUAACGCGUUAAAUCGACCGCCUGGGGAGUACGGCCGCAAGGUUAAAACUCAAAUGAAUUGACGGGGGCCCGCACAAGCGGUGGAGCAUGUGGUUUAAUUCGAUGCAACGCGAAGAACCUUACCUACUCUUGACAUCCAGCGAAUCCUUUAGAGAUAGAGGAGUGCCUUCGGGAACGCUGAGACAGGUGCUGCAUGGCUGUCGUCAGCUCGUGUUGUGAAAUGUUGGGUUAAGUCCCGCAACGAGCGCAACCCUUAUCCUUUGUUGCCAGCGCGUAAUGGUGGGAACUCAAAGGAGACUGCCGGUGAUAAACCGGAGGAAGGUGGGGAUGACGUCAAGUCAUCAUGGCCCUUACGAGUAGGGCUACACACGUGCUACAAUGGCAGAUACAAAGAGAAGCGACCUCGCGAGAGCAAGCGGAACUCAUAAAGUCUGUCGUAGUCCGGAUUGGAGUCUGCAACUCGACUCCAUGAAGUCGGAAUCGCUAGUAAUCGUAGAUCAGAAUGCUACGGUGAAUACGUUCCCGGGCCUUGUACACACCGCCCGUCACACCAUGGGAGUGGGUUGCAAAAGAAGUAGGUAGCUUAACCUUCGGGAGGG
rnacentral:rRNA from 1 species